rnacentral:rRNA from 1 species
AACGAACGCUGGCGGCAUGCCUAACACAUGCAAGUCGAACGAGACCUUCGGGUCUAGUGGCGCACGGGUGCGUAACGCGUGGGAACCUGCCCUUAGGUUCGGAAUACCUCCCCGAAAGGGGUGCUAAUACCGGAUAAUGUCUUCGGACCAAAGAUUUAUCGCCUUUGGAUGGGCCCGCGUUGGAUUAGCUAGUUGGUAGGGUAAAAGCCUACCAAGGCGACGAUCCAUAGCUGGUCUGAGAGGAUGAUCAGCCACACUGGGACUGAGACACGGCCCAGACUCCUACGGGAGGCAGCAGUGGGGAAUAUUGGAAAAUGGGCGAAAGCAUGAUCCAGCAAGGCCGCGUGAGUGAUGAAGGCCUGAGGGUUGUAAAGCUCUUUUAACCGGGAUGAUAAUGACAGUACCGGGAGAAUAAGCUCCGGCUAACUCCGUG